UCGAUGUUGUGGUCAUUGCGAAGGCUUUACUUUACUCAUAAGUUGGAAAAAUUCAACCCAACGAUUUGGGGUACGGGUGUUGGUGUCGGGUUUGGGGGUAUGGGCCUUUGGGUGUGGGUGUCAAUGUCAGUCUAUGGGUUAUAGUAUGUCUGUUGGUAUUAUCUGUGUAGUGGGUGUUGUCUGUUUUUGUCCUUGUGUCGACGGGGCCACAUGACAUGUCCACAAAUUCCAACAAAUUAGGCGUCGCAUCUGUGGUCGGCCAUGGAUCGAUAUGAGACCAAUUUGAUCGAUAUGUAAUUUCCUUGAGCUUUGAACUUCCUUGCGUGUCCUUGCCUAAGCCUAUGCCACCUCCAGAACCCAGAACCCAGAACCCUGACCAUAGACCCAGCCACGGGCCCACUCGCAGACCCGCUACCUGACCCACUCUCAGACCCCUUACCAGCAUUUCAAAAGCACCAUACAAAAUCAAUAGAAUUUUAAUUGAACUGAUUUCGGAAAUUUUGACAGCUGUCAUCUGUCAACGCUUUUUCCCUUCCACACAAUGGGGAACAAAACUUAAUAAUUACAGUCAAUUAUUGGUGUGAAAUAUUAAUUGAAUGUAUUCUGCCCUUCCUUUACGGAGAAACCCACAGGAGCAAUAUCGUCCCAUCUUUCCACUUUAUAGUUUUCUAGAUGUGUGGUGGCGGCCAUCAGGCUCACAAGAGAGUCUUUUUAGAUUGCAACAAAAUUAAAUAUAUGUAGCUGAAGUCAUGAUAGGUGAACGCUUCUUGUUAGGACACACUCGGGG
rnacentral:lncRNA from 1 species